rnacentral:rRNA from 1 species
AGUGAACGCUGGCGGUAGGCCUAACACAUGCAAGUCGAACGGCAGCGCAGUAAGAGCUUGCUCUUACGGGUGGCGAGUGGCGGACGGGUGAGGAAUACAUCGGAAUCUACUUUUUCGUGGGGGAUAACGUAGGGAAACUUACGCUAAUACCGCAUACGACCUACGGGUGAAAGCAGGGGAUCUUCGGACCUUGCGCGAUUGAAUGAGCCGAUGUCGGAUUAGCUAGUUGGCGGGGUAAAGGCCCACCAAGGCGACGAUCCGUAGCUGGUCUGAGAGGAUGAUCAGCCACACUGGAACUGAGACACGGUCCAGACUCCUACGGGAGGCAGCAGUGGGGAAUAUCGGACAAUGGGCGCAAGCCUGAUCCAGCCAUACCGCGUGGGUGAAGAAGGCCUUCGGGUUGUAAAGCCCUUUUGUUGGGAAAGAAAAGCAGCAGGUUAAUACCCCGCUGUUCUGACGGUACCCAAAGAAUAAGCACCGGCUAACUUCGUG